rnacentral:lncRNA from 1 species
UGCUGAUGUUCCAUUGACCAAGCAAGUCACAUGACCAUGCUGAGAGUGAAUGGGAGCCGUUAGGGCAACAGUGUACCACAGUGGUCACACCAACUUGUAUUCCCACCAGCAAUACGGGUGUUCCUGUUACUCCAUAGCCUCCCCAAUACUUUAUAGUUUCUGGUUUUAGUGGUUAUGCCAUUUUCAAGCGAGUCCAGCGUGUGCAUACUGUUUUCUUGUUGUGAUUUGAUUUUUAUUUUAAUGUCAAUGAAUGAUGUUGAAUAACUUUUUAGAUACAGUGAAACCUUGGACUGUGAGUAACCUGUUAUGUGAGUGUUCCGCAAGAUGAGCCAACAUUUCUAAUAAAUAUUAACUUGGCCAAAGGGCAAUGUCUUGAAAUAUGAGUAGUAUGUGAUGCCAAACGUCAUACAAUCACAACUGGGCCAAUGAUUCUUCUCUCUCUCUCUCUCUCUCUCUCUCUCUCACUGCGGGAUUGUGGGUGAUAGUCUCCCAUGCUUGGAUGCUCAGUCUCGGGCCUUGGCAUUUGGCAGAUUCAGUGAUUUUUCAGAAUGUUGGAAAGUGCCCAUGACUGGUGCUAACUUAUUUUUUGUCACUUCAAAGCACCUAGGGACAGUCCUUUGCUUUUCAUAGAAGACUGAGCUUAGGAAUGCUUUGCUUCAUUCUAGGUCAAGCUAUCUGCAGAUACAGACCUUUUCCUGUUGCCUUAUUGCCAGUUAUAUUAAAUAGAGUAUAUGACAAGAGUUUAUUAAUACAGUACUGUAGUCAACUUCUGUUAGUGACAGUGAAAGUCGUCCUACACAAUAACCCUCCUCUCUGUCGUCUCCCUCAUGCCAACCAUGAAGGUUUUCAAAGCCCAGCCCCCCUUCGCAUGCUGCGUGUUGGCUGCAGAGACGCCCCCCAUCUCGUCGUAAAGGCACAGGUGAGCCAGGAGGAAAGAAACAGCCUCCCUUGAAUCUUCUAGAGUUUGGUCAAAUGACUUUUGCCUCCACCUGUGGCUGCCGCACUGCCCUCUGGGACACCCUGGAGACGGCGUUUUUCACCUGCCUUGUCUCAGCGUCUGCCGUCCCUGCUCUGAGCAAAGCGUUUCUAGCAUUUCCAACAUGUCCGACGGUUGUUAUGUCCACCACGACUGCCCUCUGCCUGCCCAUCUGUCUGGUAAGUUAAAACGUACCUCCACAGAAGGAAAUCGAUUUUUGUUAGUAAUGUGCCAACGAAG